rnacentral:rRNA from 1 species
GUUUGAUCCUGGCUCAGAACGAACGCUGGCGGCAUGCCUAACACAUGCAAGUCGAACGUGAUCCAGGCUUCGGCCUGGUGAAAGUGGCAGACGGGUGAGUAACGCGUGGGAACCUGCCCUGUGGUAGGGAAUAACCGUGGGAAACUGCGGCUAAUACCCUAUGAGUCCUUCGGGAGAAAGAUUUAUCGCCAUAGGAGGGGCCCGCGUCGGAUUAGGUAGUUGGUGGGGUAACGGCCUACCAAGCCUUCGAUCCGUAGCUGGUCUGAGAGGAUGAUCAGCCACACUGGGACUGAGAUACGGCCCAGACUCCUACGGGAGGCAGCAGUGGGGAAUAUUGGACAAUGGGGGCAACCCUGAUCCAGCAAUGCCGCGUGGAUGAUGAAGGCCUUCGGGUUGUAAAGUCCUUUCGGCGGGGAAGAUGAUGACGGUACCCGCAGAAGAAGCCCCGGCUAACUUCGUGCCAGCAGCCGCGGUAAUACGAAGGGGGCUAGCGUUGUUCGGAAUUACUGGGCGUAAAGGGCGCGUAGGCUGUGCUGUAAGUCAGGCGUGAAAGCCCCGGGCUCAACCUGGGAAUUGCGUUUGAUACUGCGGCGCUGGAAGGUGGGAGAGGAUGGCGGAAUUCCCAGUGUAGAGGUGAAAUUCGUAGAUAUUGGGAAGAACACCGGUGGCGAAGGCGGCCAUCUGGCCCACAUUUGACGCUGAGGCGCGAAAGCGUGGGGAGCAAACAGGAUUAGAUACCCUGGUAGUCCACGCUGUAAACGAUGAGUGCUAGACGUCGGGGAGCUUGCUCUUCGGUGUCGCCGCUAACGCAUUAAGCACUC